UGGCAAUAUCGUGACGUAAUACAAUAUAAAAGCUUCUAGGCCGGACGGUCCUCACAUUUCAUGACUGAAAUUCCACAUCUACGCAUUUAGAUGAAAAUCGUACUAUUUCUAUGUGCAGCACUAUGUAUUGUUUGCAUCCAUGCUGAAGACUGUCCCGCAAAUAACGUUCAAUCAGAAUGUAUGCAUAUGACGUGUUCGAUUGGGUUCAGACUGGUAUGUGUGAACGGUGUUUGUUCUUGCGAACUAAGCCUAAGUUUUACCUGUACCGUCCAAGCUGACUGCUGGUAUAUCACAAUAAACUGUCAUUGGGGAUGGCAUUGUGUCGAUAAUAAAUGUCUAUGUGGUGGAAACUUUCAAAUUGGCAAAUAAUUAUCAUUUCAAAAGAUAAAUAUUGAAUCUGUUGCAAUAAAAAUGUUGUAA
rnacentral:lncRNA from 1 species